rnacentral:tRNA from 3 species
GCGAACGUGGUGAAGUGGUUAACACAGCGGGUUGUGGUCCCGUCAUGCGAGGGUUCGAUCCCCUUCGUUCGCCCCA